rnacentral:rRNA from 1 species
GAUGAACGCUGGCGGCGUGCCUAAUACAUGCAAGUCGAGCGAACAGACGAGGAGCUUGCUCCUCUGACGUUAGCGGCGGACGGGUGAGUAACACGUGGAUAACCUACCUAUAAGACUGGGAUAACUUCGGGAAACCGGAGCUAAUACCGGAUAAUAUAUUGAACCGCAUGGUUCAAUAGUGAAAGACGGUUUUGCUGUCACUUAUAGAUGGAUCCGCGCCGCAUUAGCUAGUUGGUAAGGUAACGGCUUACCAAGGCAACGAUGCGUAGCCGACCUGAGAGGGUGAUCGGCCACACUGGAACUGAGACACGGUCCAGACUCCUACGGGAGGCAGCAGUAGGGAAUCUUCCGCAAUGGGCGAAAGCCUGACGGAGCAACGCCGCGUGAGUGAUGAAGGGCUUCGGAUCGUAAAACUCUGUUAUUAGGGAAGAGCAAAUGUGUAAGUAACUAUGCACGUCUUGACGGUACCUAAUCAGAAAGCCACGGCUAACUACGU